AUAGCUCUAUAUUCUUGUAUAUUCAGGCACAGUAAUGGGAGCCAUAUAAAUGCCUCACCAAGGCAGAUAAAAUAGCAGGAGGCAGAGAUAAUCCCUGGCAUGUCUCCUGGGUACCUCCCCUCUACAUAUGAAUCAUGUUUCAUCCAGGCAGAUCUGAUUUAUGCCCCUAUCUAUGACCAAACAUUUGGCAGCACCAGUCAGAUGUGGAAGGAAAAUCCAGUUAGAAAUAAAUCUAUGGAAUGGUAUCUAUCUGCUAGUUCCAAGCAAUACAAAUGGGAUACUGUAGAUGACAAACAACUCUGGAGCAACCUGUACAAAGAAGCAUUAAAAAAAUGUAGUGAGGAAGUUUAAAAGGAAUUCAGAAGAUAAUCUGAGAAAGCUGCAAGGCCCCGGCACCACCAAGACAGGCUCACAUACCAAACUUGAAGCAUGUGAACAGCAAGUGGAAGAAUGGGAGCAUGGGAGGAGCGAGGCUCAAGAGACCACAGUGCACAACAAUAUGUUUGCUAAUGAUCUGUUUGCUUUAGAGCAAAAGUUUAUUA